GGGGGCGUAGCUUAGCUGGCUUAAAGCGUCUGCCUGUCACGCAGAAGAUCGCGGGUUCGAAUCCCGUCGUCCCCGCCA
rnacentral:tRNA from 6 species